GGGCUAGUGGCGCAAUGGAUAACGCGUCUGACUACGCAUCAGAAGAUUCCAGGUUCGACUCCUGGCUAGCUAG
rnacentral:tRNA from 1 species